AUCCUACAAGACUGUUUUUUGUUUGUUGUGGGGCCUAACCCGACGGACAAGGCAAAAGACAACACAUGGCAACACUUGCAGGAGUCAUGUCCGUCGUUUUCUUUUAUAUGCGGGCCGGGGCCAUCUUUUGAAGGGCAAUUUUUCCUUCUUGAAAGUUGCCUCUGUGAUUUCAAAGUUCCUCCAGGACAUGCCUUCUGGUGAAAUAAAGCUGUCUAUGCUGGAUUUUCAGCGGCUGAAUUCGCAGACGCAGCGAUGUCUGAAAACUAUCCACAAGGACGUCACAACACACCGACAAAAAAUACGGAGGGAAUUGUCGAGAAACAUCCUUCCACGGAAAAUGAGCUCCCAGUUCAGGGAGAAGGUCGAGGAAGUUCUCCCGAAGAAACUUGGGCUGCUGGAAGAAAAUCCAAGGAGACAGAACUUGAAGGCAAUUUAUGGAUUGCUGUCCGGAUAUUUUAUUUCGAUGUCCGGGCACAGGACAGGGGUACUCAGCAAUAUGCUGGUAUCAGAAGUUGAAGAUUCUGAGGUCGAAAAUGGCAUGACCAUCAUUGAGGCAAGUGUUACUCUGUUGUGUAAGAAAACAGUGUUUACCACGUGUUUGAUUGCAAAAAUGUUUUGUUUAUUUGUUACAGGUGGAAAGCCACAAAUCGGCAGCGACUUAUGGGCACGCCCAACUGUGCCUUUCUGAAACUGAGGUUGGGUGGUUCAUGACCCUUCAUAGUUUGCGCAACAAAUUCGAAGGGUCAGAAUCACCCUACUUUUUCUUUUCAAAGUCGGGGGGCAAAUGUCUUAAGCUUGUUGAGUAUUUUCAACAGCAGUGGUUGGAGCUGGGGUUCUCGGGCUGUUACAACUUCAGGAACCUCAGAACGUCCAUGGUUGACUAUACCAAGAACAUCUCCCCAGCCAAGAGGGCCCUUUUACACAGAUCCAUGUGCCACUCUGACACGGUAGCUUCAAAAUUCUAUAUUCCGCUCAACACGGUGACUGAAGCUGCACAUGUCAGAGAGAUGCAAGAGACGGCGGCUGGUAAGGAGGAGAGGAGGAUGGCGGAAGAUCGGCAGCAAGCAGAGAUGGCGGCUGGUAAGGAGGAGAGGAGGAUGGCGGAAGAUCGGCAGCAAGCAGAGAUGGCGGCUGGUAAGGAGGAGAGGAG